CCUACGGGCGGCAGCAGUGAGGAAUAUUGGUCAAUGGACGAGAGUCUGAACCAGCCAAGUAGCGUGAAGGAUGACUGCCCUAUGGGUUGUAAACUUCUUUUAUAUGGGAAUAAAAUGUUCCACGUGUGGGAUUUUGUAUGUACCAUAUGAAUAAGGAUCGGCUAACUCCGUGCCAGCAGCCGCGGUAAUACGGAGGAUCCGAGCGUUAUCCGGGUUUAUUGGGUUUAAAGGGAGCGUAGGUGGAUUGUUAAGUCAGUUGUGAAAGUUUGCGGCUCAACCGUAAAAUUGCAGUUGAAACUGGCAGUCUUGAGUACAGUAGAGGUGUGCGGAAUUCGUGGUGUAGCGGUGAAAUGCUUAGAUAUCACGAAGAACUCCGAUUGCGAAGGCAGUUCACUGGACUGCAACUGACACUGAGGCUCGAAAGUGUGGGUAUCAAACAGGAUUAGAUACCCGAGUAGUC
rnacentral:rRNA from 1 species